GCUGGGAUAGCUCAGCUGGCAGGGGGCAUGAAACUCUUAAUCUCAAGGUUGUGGAUUCGAACCCCACCUUGGGCA